UACGAAGGGUGCAAGCGUUACUCGGAAUUACUGGGCGUAAAGCGUGCGUAGGUGGUUCGUUAAGUCUGAUGUGAAAGCCCUGGGCUCAACCUGGGAAUGGCAUUGGAUACUGGCGGACUGGAGUGCGGUAGAGGAUGGCGGAAUUCCCGGGUGUAGCAGUGAAAUGCGUAGAGAUCGGGAGGAACAUCCGUGGCGAAGGCGGCCAUCUGGACCAGCACUGACACUGAGGCACGAAAGCGUGGGGAUCAAACAGGAU
rnacentral:rRNA from 1 species